rnacentral:rRNA from 1 species
AUUGAACGCUGGCGGCAGGCCUAACACAUGCAAGUCGAACGGUAGCACAGAGAGCUUGCUCUCGGGUGACGAGUGGCGGACGGGUGAGUAACGUCUGGGAAACUGCCCGAUGGAGGGGGAUAACUACUGGAAACGGUAGCUAAUACCGCAUAACGUCGCAAGACCAAAGUGGGGGACCUUCGGGCCUCUCACCAUCGGAUGUGCCCAGAUGGGAUUAGCUAGUAGGUGGGGGAAUGGCUCACCUAGGCGACGAUCCCUAGCUGGUCUGAGAGGAGGACCAGCCACACUGGAACUGAGACACGGUCCAGACUCCUACGGGAGGCAGCAGUGGGGAAUAUUGCACAAUGGGCGCAAGCCUGAUGCAGCCAUGCCGCGUGUAUGAAGAAGGCCUUCGGGUUGUAAAGUACUUUCAGCGGGGAGGAAGGCGGUGAAGUUAAUAGCUUCACCGAUUGACGUUACCCGCAGAAGAAGCACCGGCUAACUCCGUGCCAGCCGCCGCAGUAA